CGGAAGUCACUGGAUAAGGAUGUUUCGUUGUUAAUACAUUUUAAACAGUAUGCAACCCAGGUGAAGUAAAAAGCCAAGAGACAACAGAGAAGUAUUUCUUUUAGGACCAAACACAGUCUAUGGGCAUGAGACAUUGUGUCUCAUGAUUAUCAUAAGAGUACAUGUGGUCUGUUUAAACUGAAAUCUUCUGAUAAGACUAGUCCCAGUUAGCAGACAUGUCUGAAAAACAGCUGCCAAUAUACCGGCAUAAAGCUAAACUUAUCCAGGCUGUAAAAGACAACAAUUUUCUGGUUGUCACCGGCGAGACUGGCAGCGGAAAAACAACACAACUUCCACAGUAUCUACACCGGGCUGGUAUUUGUAAAGAUGGCAGAAUUGGCAUUACCCAGCCCCGGCGUGUGGCUGCCAUCACAGUGGCACAGAGGGUCGCCCAGGAGAUGAAGUGCAGUCUGGGUAAAGAGGUUGGCUACCAAGUACGCUUUGAUGACUGCACAUCCCAGGACACUGAGGUGAAGUACAUGACAGAUGGCUGUUUGCUCAGAGAGAUCCUGGCAGAUCCUUCACUUUCCCAGUACAGCGUUGUUAUUUUGGAUGAAGUCCAUGAGCGCAGCCUCAACACGGAUAUUCUCCUAGGUCUAAUGAAAAAGGUCUUCUCUGAUCCAGCUAAGGCCACCAGGGGCCGAUCUUCUCCUCUGAAGGUGGUGGUGAUGUCUGCCACCUUGGAAACUGAUAAACUUUCAGCCUUUCUUGGGAACUGUCCCGUCUUUGUUAUUCCUGGGAGGACUUUCCCUGUCACCUGCACAUUUGGUUCGGCUAUAGGACCAAAAGACGUGGAGAGCACUGCUUACAUUAAAGAGGUUGUCAAAGUAGCCUUUGAUGUUCACACUAGUGAAAUGGCGGGAGAUAUUCUUGUGUUUUUGACAGGUCAGUCAGAGAUUGAACAGGCUUGUGACCUGUUGUAUGAAAAGGCAGAGUCAAUAGACUACCGCUAUGAUGUACAGGACCAAACAGUGGAUGGACUCCUGAUUUUGCCUCUUUAUGGAUCCAUGCCCACAGAUCAACAGCGGCAGAUCUUCCAGCCUCCUCCUCCUCGGAUAAGGAAGUGUGUGGUGGCCACUAACAUUGCAGCAACAUCUCUCACUAUUAAUGGGAUAAAGUACAUCGUGGACAGUGGCUUUGUGAAGCAGCUCAACCACAAUUCAAGAGUGGGCAUGGACAUCUUGGAGGUGGUGCCGAUAUCAAAGAGCGAGGCUCAGCAGAGGGCAGGUCGAGCUGGAAGAACGUCAGCUGGGAAAUGCUUUCGCAUCUAUACCAAGGAAUUCUGGGAGAAGAGCAUGCCUGAGUACACCAUUCCAGAGAUCCAGAGGACAAGUUUGACAGCGGUGGUGCUUACGCUCAAAUGUCUGGGUGUUCAUGAUGUCAUUAGGUUCCCUUAUCUCGACCAUCCAGAGGAAAGGUUCAUUCUUGAGGCGUUAAAACAGCUCUACCAGUUUGAUGCUAUCGACAGGAGAGGUAGAGUGACCCGGCUUGGAGAGCUGAUGGUGGAGUUCCCCCUUCAGCCAGGCCUUACCAGGGUCCUGCUCAAAGCUGCCUCACUUGGCUGUCAGGACUUACUUCUCCCUGUGGCUGCCAUGCUGUCUGUGGAGAACAUUUUCAUCAGGCCAGGCCAUCCUGACAAGCAGAAGGAAGCGGAUAAAAAGCACAGAGCACUGGCGACCAAGAGUGGCAGCAUGAAUGACUUUGCCACUCUCCUCAGUGUGUUUCAGGCAUGUAAAUCCAGUGACAGACCAUCAGGCUGGUGUAAAGACAACUGGAUCCACUGGAGGGCGCUGAAGUCAGCAUUCAGUGUGGAGACUCAACUAAGAGACAUUCUCUGCCGCCUCCAACAGAAGAGAGAUUUCCCUGUGGAAACAUUUGAUGGUAACAAGUCUGAACUCUUGAGACGAUGUCUGUGCACGGGAUACUUCACCAAUGUUGCAAGAAGAUCUGUUGGCAAGGUUUUUUGCACAAUGGAUGGUCAUGGAUCCAUGGUCCACAUUCAUCCUUCAUCAGCACUGUUUGACCAGGAGGCUGAGCUUAACUGGGUUCUCUUUCAUGAUGUGCUGGUGACGUCACGCGUUUAUGUCAGGACGGUUUGUCCUGUUCGCUAUGAGUGGGUGAAGGACUUGCUACCUAAACUCCACGAGGUGGACGUCUAUGAACUGAGCAGUGUGGCGAGAGAAGAAGUGACUGAAGAGGAGAUGAAAAAAUGGGAGAGCAAGGAAGCGGCCAAAAGACAAUCAGCACACUUUGGUAUCUCUGCAGCCACAGUGAUGCAAAAUAAGUCCGCCACUUCUCCUCAUUGUCUGUUUUCAAUUUGAAAACUCACAUAGCUCAGUGGACAAGUCAAAAGUAAAGUUCCUGUUUUGCAGAAGCUUCUACUGAGGAUGUCAUGAAGAAGUUGGAGAAAAGAAACAACGAAACGACUGUCAGUGAUGCUCGUGCUCGCUACCUGCAAAGAAAGCAACAGAGACAACAAAC